UAGUAGGUAUAAAUACAUGGAAUAUACAUGCAUGUAGAUCAGUUUCGGUUGGUGUUUGGAUCAUAAACUAUACCAAACAAGUUAAACAAUGAUUUUUCCGAUAUUGUUGGUAGUUUUGGUUACAACUGCACUCAACGUUCAAGCAGGUCCCACUUGUCCACAAAAAGAUGGCAAAUAUCCUGUUUACAUACCACAUGAAGAUUGCACCAAAUUCUGGGAAUGUUCUAAUGGCACUCCCCACUUGUUUGAUUGCCCCGCAAAUUUACACUUCAAUCCAAAAUUAAAUGUCUGUGACUGGCCAGAUCAAGCAGGAUGCGAUGACAGUGAUAGUUCUUCAGGAAGUUCAUCUUCUUCGUCUUCGAGUUCAGAAUCUAAUGAAGACGACUGAAAAGGGAUUCCAUGAAUAAUGAAAAAACGACUGUAACAUAUUUUUGAAUUAAUAAAGCAUCUGAAAAUGUA